GAAUCGGUGAAUCUUAACAUCUCUAUCAUGGACACUUCAUGGUAAUUUCAAAGGAAAUAAAUCCCCCUUUGUCAUGGUCGGUCAGUGAUAUAACAUCUUGAUUCCACAGAUUGAAUGUGUUUCAACUAGCCGAGUAAUUAUGUAACGAAGCAGACAGAAAGGAGAUCUCUUAGUUUACCAUGUGACUCAAUGUUUGUUGUGGUAGACGCAGACAGGAAGAGAGAGAAUGCGAAGAGGAAGACACAGGAAACCGCAGCCUCUGGUCCAUCACCAAAACAUACUGUCACCAGUUCCACGUCGAGAGCCCGGCAACAUCACAUUACAUGCAAAAUAAAUCCUUCAACCUCUCAAAUAUCCCACCACUGCCAAAGGGCCUGCAGCAUAUUUCAUCUAAAAAAAAAAGAGGAGCAUGGAGUCUAGUCUGUCAUUAUUUUAUUCCACUUUCCAUUUCACACAGUCAUGAGUGGUUGAAGGUCUUGCUCGAACACGUUGCAGCAGGGGUAAGCGCUGCCAAGGAGUCUGAUUCCCCCCCUCGCUGUGGAGCUUUUAAGCAGGUGUGAUUACCUGCUUCCAGUCAGAGGUCUCAAAGAGUCAAACACAUCCUCAUUUUCUCCACUUUUAUGAGUUUCCCUGCCUUUUCUGUGCCACUUGAAAGUAUCCUCAGAACAGUGAGCAUUAAUAAAACUCCUCCAGGCUGCUGUUAUAAUCCAGUAGUAUGUAAAUGUGUCCUUCCACCUUCCUGUAAAGAGGCAUUUCCGCCUUUCCCCCCCUAAAUGUAGCCUCAUGUUGAAGGGAAGUACAUGCGGUUUUUGCUCCUCUGUCUGUGUGUUAAUUCCAAUCGGACGGCCUCAAGAAGUUGGGGAUGCACUGGCAGACGCUGUAGCUGUAGUAGUUACCCGCCUGGCACACAGGUUGGGGCUUUCUGCACGGCAACUUGUUACAACUAGACAGAGGAGAAAGCCAGAAAAAACACGAUCAAGAGGUAGAAAAAAAGAGAGGAGAGUACAAAGAAUUUGGAGGCGGAAAAAGUAGACCAAAUGAUGCAAACGGGCGGAUGAGAGGCGUGGAGAAUCAAUAAAAAAUAACACACAGGGGAUUCUCUCUUGGCAUGCUCAAUCAUUCAGAUCUCGUUCGGAUAAAACCCCUGAUCCAAGUUUUAUUUUGCAUCAAACGGUUCUGUGCGUGAGAAAAAGACGGAGCAUGUCUCCGGAGAGGGAGAAAUGGCUAAAUUCUGGGAACUCAUCCUCAAAAUCACACCUGCCCGCCUGUCUCUCUGCAGGCCUCUGGGGUCAGGGGGAGGUUGAUCUCUUGCAUGCUGGCUGUGGGAAACCGCGACACGCAUGCAUUACAUGAACACCACUUGGACCUGUGUCCAUAAAAGGUCGUAUGGAAACAUAAAGCUUUGUGAUGGCACCCUAAGGGCCGAUCAACAGACUGGACCAGUUCCCCCAGUACAAACCACUGGUUGAGGAGAAAGUCUGCAGAGCUGAGAAAGCACGGGACAGAUUGCUCGUUCUGUUGUGAGCCUACCUGCAGGAGUUAGCGUUGAACUUCUUGCCCUGCUGCAGACAGGACGGCAAACUCUCCCUGCACUGACACAGGCAGGUGUCGGGGUUCAACGGCUGGUUCCUGGGACACUCUGCAGCACACACACACCCGCACAGCUCCUCUUCCCAGCGCUGGCCGGCAGGGCACAACUUCCCCUCGCCUUGACCUUCACACUGACAUUCACCUGCGGGGAGAGAGCUUCAUCAGAUAUCGGCUGGUGGCGCUCCUCUGUCGCUGUUGUUGCUAAAUAUUUGGAGCUCAGGUUCUGACUUGUUAGAUAUUUUGCUUCCUAAAACUUCCCUGUGUUUAUCAUCCUGGCUCGAUCUGGCCCGGCUGCUUUCAGGAUGCCGGCCCCCUUUUCUUAACAAUGUGGUUUAUUUACAGUAAAUCGACCUCUUGAACCAGGAGGUAACUACAGAAAAAUGUGUGUUUCUUUAACCAUUUUCUCACAAAAAAGGAGCCUUUUAUCUAAUAUGUAUAAUAAGUGUAUGUAUAAGUAAUUUAAUAUGGGUGUCCUUUAAAAGAAAGUCUUGAAUAUCUACUAUAUAUAAUUCAAGAUAUGUGGAUAGCUUGAAAGCCUGCUUACAGGUGUUGUGGGCCAGUUUCCAGCCCGGGUCGCAGCUGUCCUCUGUGAGUCCGUUGCGACACACACACUCGCAGGACGAUUCGUGCAGAACCCGGUUCGGCCCGCAGAGAGCCAGCAGCCCCGAGUCCAGCGCCUCUGAGAGCCACGUGGAGACAAACAUAAGGUGAUCUGUCGCGGCUCGUCUGAUGAUGGAGUGCAGAGGCCGCUUCGUGAUGCAAUCGCAGGAAGUGUGGUUGACAAAUGUUACCAUGACGAUGGAGCGCUCCAUCCUGGGCGGGGACAGCUCCAUCAACUGGGAGGAGGAAGAGACCAAGGUGUGUGAGUACACAACGCUAUAAAUUGUGCAUGAUUUUUCUUUUUCUUUUCUGCUUUCAU